rnacentral:rRNA from 1 species
UCGACGGUACAGGCCGCAAGGUGCUGACGAGUGGCGAACGGGUGAGUAAUGCAUCGGAACGUGCCCAGUCGUGGGGGAUAACGCAGCGAAAGCUGCGCUAAUACCGCAUACGAUCUAUGGAUGAAAGCGGGGGACCGUAAGGCCUCGCGCGAUUGGAGCGGCCGAUGUCAGAUUAGGUAGUUGGUGGGGUAAAGGCUCACCAAGCCAACGAUCUGUAGCUGGUCUGAGAGGACGACCAGCCACACUGGGACUGAGACACGGCCCAGACUCCUACGGGAGGCAGCAGUGGGGAAUUUUGGACAAUGGGCGCAAGCCUGAUCCAGCAAUGCCGCGUGCAGGAAGAAGGCCUUCGGGUUGUAAACUGCUUUUGUACGGAACGAAAAGGCUCUGGUUAAUACCUGGGGCACAUGACGGUACCGUAAGAAUAAGCACCGGCUAACUACGUGCCAGCAGCCGCGGUAAUACGUAGGGUGCAAGCGUUAAUCGGAAUUACUGGGCGUAAAGCGUGCGCAGGCGGUUUUGUAAGACAGGCGUGAAAUCCCCGGGCUUAACCUGGGAAUUGCGCUUGUGACUGC